rnacentral:misc_RNA from 1 species
UUUUAAUAUUAAUUAAAAUUUAAUAUAUAUAUAAGAGACCGGACUCGGAAUCCGAAUCACCAAUUAUCGAAAGUCAAACUGAUAUUACAGGUCAACGAAUGAGCCAAAAAUACUUUUUCCAGUGUUCCUCAUGAGUAUGGGCUCUUGACUAAAUAGUCGUACUUCUCGACCCCACUUGCAGGAAUGGCCACCAUUACUUUAACUGCAUCCGUCUGAUUCUGCACCGGCAAAAUCAGGCAAUACUUAUCACUGCAUAUGGGUCCCACCUGAACUGGUCUCCCAAUCCCAAAGUCAACCCUCUCCAAGCCUAGCCUUGACCAUUGCGACACUAUCAACACGCCUACUGAGUCAGGACACGAUCUUUUCUGACUCACCGAUUCGAUUACCGACCUCACGUAUUCGUUGUCCACUCUUCCUUUCGCUCUCUUUAUCAACUUUGAUGCGUACCCUAAACCCUUCUCUGUUAAAUCUUUAACGCUUGUUUGUGCACAGCCAAGAACGAAGCCGUUGCCGUAGUAUCCACUCGGUAGACUCGGCUUGACUCGGUCUCUAAUAUUGAUGCUGAAGAGAAGCUUCAAGAUUUGGUUUGAGGGUAGGUUUAGAGCUCUGGCCCAGCUCCUCCACACAUGAGCUGAUACUACCUCGAAAGACGUGUAUGCCGGCUCACCAGGUAGACUCAUGGACACAGCGAGUCUCUUUAACUCGUUUUUCCACCUUUUAUCGAAUAUAACGGAAGUAGGGAUGAGUCUUUCGUUGGAAAAGCGAGCUAAGAACCCACAAACGUCUGGAACUCGGUUGAACUCGGGAUGACUCAAGGAGAAAGAACGACAAGGCUUUAUUGGAUCGAGAAGGUGGCGAUCCCAAAUUGGUUUAAUUUUCAAGUCAGAAAAUCGAGCUUGACUCAUGGCCAGCUCAGCUAACGAGUUGAGAAGCUCAGUACUACCUAACCCAUCACAGACGCAAUGGUUGAAGCCGACACCUAACGUGGCACCGCCAUCUUUCAGCCACGUCAGCUGGAUCACGAGAAGAGGAGCUCCUUGAAGAACAUCCGCCACGUAGAAAGACAAGAGUUUCCUCCAUUGUGACACGUACCUUGGAGCUCUAUCAAACUCGUUGACUGUAUUAUCACAAACAGCUUCCACGAACAAAGCACCCUGAGCUCGACACACCACCUCUAGGCUGGAGCCAUCAGACUUAGCCUUGACUCUCCCUGCAAGAGGAUAAUAAGGGACCAAGAUUCUACCCAAUGCAGCCUUGAUCCUAGCUGCGAUGGUCCCUUGGUCCAACCCAGGGCGAGCCUUGUAAACUAAGAGAUACUCUAUAGUGAAACGCAGAAAAAGCUGAGAAUCGAGAGCAGAAAGAGAUAAAACACUAGUUGGGGUUGGCUCAGAUGGCUUGACAACUAUAGCUUCCUUGACAUGCAGAGAGUUAGCCAUGUCUUUGAUGCAGUUUUGGUUUUGUGGGUCUAGUAAGGUACAGCGAGAAGAGAACAGGGGUUGGGUUACAUAUAUAUAGAGAGAGAGAGAAAGAGAGA